CAGUCGCCACGGUAACACGUAGGUGGCAAGCGUUGUCCGGAAUUAUUGGGCGUAAAGGGCUCGCAGGCGGUUUCUUAAGUCUGAUGUGAAAGCCCCCGGCUCAACCGGGGAGGGUCAUUGGAAACUGGGAAACUUGAGUGCAGGAGAGGAGAGUGGAAUUCCGCGUGUAGCGGUGAAAUGCGUAGAGAUGUGGAGGAACACCAGUGGCGAAGGCGACUCUCUGGUCUGUAACUGACGCUGAGGAGCGAAAGCUAGGGGAGCAAAUGGGAUUAGAGACCCCUGUAGUCCCUGUCUCUUAUAC
rnacentral:rRNA from 1 species